GAUGAACGCUGGCGGCGUGCCUAAUACAUGCAAGUCGAACGCAUUGAGAGAAGUGCUUGCACUUUUCAAUUUGAGUGGCGAACGGGUGAGUAACACGUGGGCAACCUACCUGAUAGCGGGGGAUAACGAGUGGAAACAUUCGCUAAUACCGCACAACAAUAGAGAAGGCAUCUUCUUUAUUCAAAAGGCGCUUUCAAGCGUCACUAUCAGAUGGGCCCGCGGUGCAGUAGUUAGUUGGUGGGGUGAAGGCCUACCAAGACGAUGAUGCAUAGCCGAGUUGAGAGACUGAUCGGCCACAUUGGGACUGAGACACGCCCCAAACUCCUACGGGAGGCUGCAGUAGGGAAUCUUCCACAAUGGACGAAAGUCUGAUGGAGCAACGCCGCGUGUGUGAUGAAGGCUUUCGGGUCGUAAAGCACUGUUGUAUGGGAAGAAAUGCUAGGCUAGGAAAUGAGCUUAGUUUGACGGUACCAUACCAGAAAGGGACGGCUAAAUACGUGCCAGCCGCCGCAGUAA
rnacentral:rRNA from 1 species